rnacentral:rRNA from 1 species
CACGUAGGGCGCGAGCGUUGUCCGGAAUUAUUGGGCGUAAAGAGCUCGUAGGCGGCCUGUUGCGUCCGCUGUGAAAGCCCGGGGCUUAACCCCGGGUCGGCAGUGGAUACGGGCAGGCUAGAGGUAGGUAGGGGAGAAUGGAAUUCCCGGUGUAGCGGUGAAAUGCGCAGAUAUCGGGAGGAACACCGGUGGCGAAGGCGGUUCUCUGGGCCGAAAUUGACGCUGAGGAGCGAAAGCGUGGGGAGCAAACAGG